rnacentral:lncRNA from 1 species
GUAUGCAAAAUUUGAGUUAAGAUUGAUAGUUUAUUCAUUAGUUAUUGAGGUUUAAAUCUAUUGUAGGAAUUACUAGGGUUUGGUUUAGGGUUUAAGAUUUGGAUUAGGAUUUUAUUUACGGUUUAGGGUUUGGUUAGGAUUUGGUUUAGGAUUUAAGAUUUGAUUUAGGGUUUAAGAUUUGGUUAGGGUUUUAUUUAAGGUUUAGGAUUUGGUUUAGGGUUUGGUUAGGAUUUGGUUUAGGAUUUUGUUGGGAUUUAGUUUAAAGUUUUUUUAGGAUUUGAUUUAGGGUUUAGGAUUUUAUUAGGAUUUAAGAUUCAAUUAGUUUUGGCCUAAAGUUUGAAUGAAGUUUAAUAGGAUUUUAACUAGAAUUAAACUAAGAUUGAAUUGAAAUGUAUUUGAGUGAUAUUUGUGAUCCUUCUAAUAUUUCUUUAAAAAUUUUCAUUGUUUGUUUGAAAUUUCUUUGAGGUUUUUUUGAAUUUGAUUAAGCUUGCUUACCAUUAUUAUAGUCUAAUUAGAGCAUUGUUAGUAUUCUAUUAGAAUUAGGAGUUUAUUAUUGCAAUUUCCAUUCUUCCUUCCACAGCCAGGUG